AAAAAAAAAAAAAAUGCUUGUGUAGUGUUUUAUUUAUCUUUGGAGUUUAUAGAAGCUUUAUGAAAUUAAAUGCUAUUUCUGUUAGAUAAUAUCUUUUUUAUAAUACCUUAAAGAAAACUUGUCAUAAAUCUAAAUAUAAAUAUAACGUGAAGAUUAAAGUUCUAAAGUCUUAGAACAAGAUUUACUAGACUUUAAACCUUUUUGCUCUGGUAUUCUGUUGUGUCUUUUUUUUUUUUUAACCCUUGUGACUUCUCUUUUUGCAUUUGCUUCAGUUCAGAUUGAGAACAGUUCUUCCUGUACUAUACCAACAAUUUCUGCUGAAAACUUUAAAACUAGAAUAGUAAUUUGAAAUAUUACAUAUGCCUCAUUUAGCUGCUAGCUCUGAAAGAUGUCACAUUAGGUAAUCCUGAAGAAACAUCAUUUUUAUUCAUGCAGAGGUUAGUAAAUAUUAGGCUCUCGUAGUUAGUGAUUGGCAGAAAUAGGGGGGAAUAAACACUAUUUAUUUCAGUGGCAGUUAUUUUUAUACCAUUAUUAUAGUUAAUAUGGCUUUUGAAAGAUUAUACUUUAAUGAGAAAAUUAUUUUGAAGUGGACUUAAUUGUGAUAUUAGUUUAUCAGCACUGAUUUGCUCAUACGAUAUUUUGAUUGUUGUCAGCAAGGCUUUAAAUCAGACUUAAUCUAUAAUAGCAUUGUAACAUGUCAUUUCUCCUAGAAGUAUAGUAGCAGAAAAUUUGGUAUAUCCACCCCUUAAUUCCAGAGAAAAAAGCUGCUGUAUUAAUAUAGUAUGGGUAAGGUGGCCACUACUAUAAAAACUGUAUAUGUAGUAUUAUCCUUUGGUAGUAAAUUAGCAAAGAUAUUUUUUUUUAAUUACUGUUAAAUUGUUAAUACAGCAGAUUGGUAGAGGUUUUUAUCCUAAUGCCUCUGAGGUAUGAUUUUGUUCUUGGGCUUCUCUGUUCUUGGGUAAAAAUGUUUGUGGUGAUAAGGGAGUAGAUACACAAUUUAUGACAGAACUAUUUUAGGAUGUUUGCUUAAUAUGACUUAGUAGAAAGUCAUAAAAAAUCAAAUUAUUAGUUGCCUCAUAAAUUUGGCAUGCAUAGAUCUUUAUCUACCUGUUUGAUCUUUUUUUGAGUCUGCAUAGAAGUAUAGGCCGAAGGAAAUUAACAGGAACUUCAAACACUGAACACAAAAGAAUUCAUUUGUGUAUUCAACAAAUACUUUGUGAUUUUACUCUUCUACCUAUUUUUUCUAUUCUCUUAUUUGCGUUUCAAAAUAAUUGUGUUAUAUUUAUAAUCUAGGAUUAUAUUUUCAAUGAAAAUGGCAAAUAAUUUCAAAAUAUAAAAAUUCUAAGUGAUCAUUCAGUACUAUCUUAGCAGUAGACAAAUUUAAAAUAUGCUUUGGGCACCACCAAAUAUAUAUGUUCUUUAAAAAUUAUAUAUUUCUUUAAAAAUGUUUUGACAUAUUAAUUUUAAAAAUAAUAUUUUUUAUUUUGGGAAAAGUAAAAACACUUCUGCAUUUCUUUACACCUAGUUUUUUUUUUUAGUAUUUGAGUAUCAAAUUACUAGUAGGAGCACCAUAAUCUUUUCUGUAAGUAAGGCCUUUGAAGUCCUAAGCUAGCCUUCAUAUCUUAAAUCCCGAGAAAAUAUUGUUCCAUGUAGCUCAAAGAAAUAUUGUACCACUUUUAAUAGCAUUAUUUUUUAGUUUAGUUAUGUUAUGAUUGCUCUUUUUUGGCCGUAUAUAUGUUUGCAUAUAUGUGUAUAAAAUAAAAGAUGUUCAGAGAAAAUUUUCUAAUGUUCAUUUAAUACAUAAUUAUAAAGAAGUAGGACAAUGUAGCAUUACAGAAAUGUCCUUGAGACUCUUCCUAUUUAACUCCUUUCUUCCAUAACUGCUAUUCUGUUAUGCUAGUAACUUCCUUGCUUCUUAUACUUCUAUUACCAAUUUUACCAGUAAAUAUGCAUCUCUUUACAAUAUUGUUUAGUUUUUCAUAUUAGUAUCAUACACAUGUAAUUAUAUAUUACAUAUAUUUUUUGUGGCUUCUUCACAUAACCUUAUGAUUUUAAGAUUCAUUUGCUUUUGCACUUAGUUGUCCCUUCAUGUUCAUAACAAAAGUAUGACAGUUUUAUGAAUGUACAUGCUUAGGGCAGCAGAGUUAUUAAGAGAUUGGAGAGAGAAUUCCAAAGACAUUCUUUAUCUUUGGCAAAAUUUCAUUUGGUUUCAGCCCUACAUUAAGGAGGAUCCUGUACCUUGUGAUUACUUGCUCUUACAGUUCAAAAUGCAGACUAAAAGAAGAGAUAUACACCUAUUAUAUGCUAAGUUUUAUGUUGGAAAGUUUUACAUUUGCGUCCUCAUGUAAUUUUCAGAGCAACAAAUUAAUGUUUUUAGCAAAUAUUUAUUGAAACCUACUGUAUGCCAGCUAAAUUCUAGACGUCACAGAUAGUGGUGACCUUUGUCUUCACAAAGCUGGUAGUCUAAUGGAGAGUAAAGACAAAUAGGGAAACAAUUAUCCUAAGUAUGAUGAUGGUGACCAAAAUGAUAGGAUAAAAGAUGAGACCUAGCCUUGGGAGGAAUUGGAGAAAACUUCGUAAAUGAAGAACUACCCAUUUUGACUAAAACUACUGUUAAAAGUAGAACUUCAGACAAAUUAAAUAGAAAGUUUAAUUGAGCAGUGAAUGAUUCGCAAAUCAGGCAGCCUCCAGAAUCACAGCGGAUUCAGAGAGACUCCAGGAGUGCCUUGUGGUCAGAACAAAUUUAUAGACAAAAAAGGUAAAGUGAUGUACAGAAAUCGGAAGUGAGGUGCAGAAACAGCUGCAUUGGAAUGAUUGAAGUACGGCUGCUGGGAUUGGCCAAGACUCAGCUGUUGUUACAGGCAGGUACCCCCAAGUUAGGUUUUCCAUCUUGUCUGCCUAUCAAGCUAAGUUGCAGUUCAUCCCUAAGGACUCAAAUACAGAAGUACAGAGUCCUUCUUAGGCCAUAUUUAGCUUGCUUUAACACUGAGAACUAAGGAAGGGAAAGGAAUUGGGGAAAUGAAUGUAUAGCAUAUAUAAAAGUCUGGAAGUAGGACAAAAUGAAGUUUUUUAAACAAACAAAUUAAUUUGGCAUGGCUGAAGGAUAGACUGAGAGGCAGGGGGUUAUAAGAGA